AUGGAAAUAUGGGUUCCCAUAUGAAUACCAAAGUUAAGCAACAUUGAGCCUGGCCAGUACCUAGAUGGAUGACCGUUUGAGAAUACCAAGUGCUGUAAG